AGAGUUUGAUCCUGGCUCAGGAUGAACGCUAGCGGCAGGCUUAACACAUGCAAGUCGAACGGCAGCGGGGAUUCACUUCGGUGAAUCUGCCGGCGAGUGGCGCACGGGUGAGUAACACGUAUGCAACCUGCCUCUGUCAGGGGUAUAACUCUGCGAAAGUAGGGCUAAUACCGCGUAUAUUCCCGGAGGGCAUCCUCCGGGGAGGAAAGGUUUCGGCCGGACAGAGAUGGGCAUGCGGCGCAUUAGGCAGUUGGCGGGGUAACGGCCCACCAAACCGACGAUGCGUAGGGGUUCUGAGAGGAAGGUCCCCCACACUGGUACUGAGACACGGACCAGACUCCUACGGGAGGCAGCAGUGAGGAAUAUUGGUCAAUGGCCGGAAGGCUGAACCAGCCAAGCCGCGUGAAGGACGAAGGUGCCAAGCAUUGUAAACUUCUUUUGUCAAGGGACAAAAUCAGGCUCGAGAGCCUGACCGAGGGUACUUGAAGAAAAAGCAUCGGCUAACUCCGUGCCAGCAGCCGCGGU
rnacentral:rRNA from 1 species